AAUUGCAAUCGCGCAUCUGGCCGCCAGAUGUGGCCUACAAUUCUUGACUUAUUUUUCUCCUUUUUCUUUUUCUCUUUCUUCCUUUUUAUACAUCCUUCUUUUAAUGAGGGUUUUGAUGCGAGAGCGAGUCGGAGUUGGUGGAGGCACGGCAGCUAUCAGCGUGGGGGGAGGCGGCAGAUUCGGUGGCCUACACAUACAGUCCUCUUUUAUCGACGUUUUAUUAUUCUCUCCAAUGCAUUUCGCUUCCUCCAAUUCAAUUUCAAUUUUGUCGGUGUAUGAACGCAAACAUUAGGUAACACUUGGAAUUGAAAAAAAGAUAGGAUAUUUCGCAUAAAUCGCCGCCGGGGACUACAGACGGUCUGAGAAUUGUUCGUGCAGUAUUUGUUCGUUCCUUUGGCUUGAAUGGUUGUGUUUGUAGUCGCUUUUUCCCUUUCUUUCUUUUCGAUGUUCUUCUUUGAGGGUUUACUAUGGACCGAAUUGUGAAUAAACAUACGAGUCUUUGAGGAAUAAGUAUAGAAAAACAAUCUCCACCAAAGGUUUUUUUUAGCCCAUUUUUUCCCUUUUGUUUGCUCUUGUGAAGGUCUGUCUUAAUUCUCUGUUUGUAAAGUUUCAAUCUUUAUUUUGAUUUGUUUUUGUUUGUCUAUUGUCCUUACAAUAGUAAACUGCUUGUGCAGGAAAUUCAUUUUGUACACCACGAUUUUUGCUGAUGAAUCAACCAAAAGUUAAACGCGGAAUCGGGAAAUAUGAGAUUGGACGAACAAUUGGUGAGGGCACAUUCGCAAAAGUGAAACUUGCUAGAAUUCCAAGAUGGCUGAACAUGUGGCCCUCAAGCACAAAAUUGCUGAUCAGAUUAGACGGGAAAUAGCUACAAGGAAACUAAUAAAACAUACCACUGUUGUUCAGUUGUACGAGGGAGCAUCGACUGUUACAGGCGUAAAUUUCGAUCCUUAGCCUCAAUUCUUUUUAGUGUUGAUGAUUCGUCCAUUGGCUUUGGUGCUCCUGUUUGGGCAAAUAUGAGAACAAGAGGUGUUACAAGUGCCACUGUAACAUCAUAUUUCCUAGAAACUGUAAGCUUUAAUAAAUUACUCUAAACAUUAUAAUACUGGGCGGCGUCUGCCGCUUCCGACGUUAACGGACAUCGACGGCGCCGCUUCCGACGUUGACGGGCAUCGACGCCGCCGCUCCUGCCAACUACGCGAACGCUCGUAAUUUGAUCUCCAAUAUUCUAUCUCUUUCUUGAGCCGACGCUGCUGAGCCUGUUCUUCCCCCGCCGGUGUCGCCUCCAUCGUAGGUUUCAAUACAGCGGGAGCUGGAGUUGGUGGGGACGCCUUCCGUCAGUAGGUUUGGGAAAACAGGUGAGUUAAUGGAGGCUUAGCGGCGACCGCCGUCGGGGGAGCCGGUCGAGUUGGUGGCCAUUCUGAGGGGGAAACAGAGUUCGAUAGAUUUGCGGGAGUGGCUUGUACGUUCUCUACGCCACCGAUCCAACAAAACAAUUUGCCAUACCAGGCGAGCUCUCGAUCACAAACUCAAUUUCGAAUAUCACGAACUAUCCAUUGGUUAGAUUCAUUAUGUACUACGAGGAUGAGAUGAAACAAUCAUAAUGUCUAUUUUUCUACAAUUUUUUUGGACUUUUUGAUGUUGCUUUGUUAUUCCGUAGAAUCAAUGAGUUUUGAUUUAUUGAUUUUAUUUAUAUAAUUUCUUUAUAAUGAGUUGUGGAUUUAGGUUUUUAUUUUAUUUUAUUUUAUUCUAUUUUAUUUUUAAUUUUUUAAUUAUGUAUUGUGGAUUUAAUGGAAUGAGUUAGAAUUCGUCCUACAGGCAUUAUGAUGAAUUCUAACUCAUUCCAGUUACACUUUUUUAUCUGCAGCAAAGGCUCUGCUGAUCCGCCACCCCUCAGGCUAUGGCUGUCGUCUCAACUCGGAUGUGUGCCAGGUCAAUGUAAGAUUAUUAUCUGAGUUAUGCUGAUAGAAUAUAACCGCAGGCUCUUCCAUUUUGUCACGUGUUACACUGUUUUCGAAACCAAAACCGAAACAUUGGGUGAUCGGUAUAUGUUUUGGACCCUUAGUAAUGUGUUUAGUUGUUUAUUAUGUACAAAUAUUUUUAGAUGUGCAUAUGUUUUUGAUGGUUUUCUAAUGUGAGUUUCAGAUAUCUUAAAAAAAGAGGUUCGAAAGAUGUGAAUUUGCAAUUUUCUUUCCGAAAAUAAGGAUGUACAUUGAACUUGGCUUAAUACAAACAAAUCAUGUCAGCAAGCAUUCCAUGUUUAUGAGUAAUAUGUUUUCUGUUCGAUUUUUAGGAACGAGCUAUAGGGAGCUUUGAGCAUUACAUUAGCUUAUAUAGCAGGGACAAUUGCAACAGUUAUGGUGGUCUAUAAUGUAUUUUCUUUUAGUAUUUGUUUGUUUUCCUUGUACAUGUUUUGCAACAAUGAUUAUUCGUUUAUUUUUCGCAUAUUUCAUGCAAAAUGUUGACGUUUUGCUUCUGAUGUUUCUAAUUGGAAUGUUUUGUCACU